CCCUUAGAUGUUCUGGGCCGCACGCGCGCUACACUGAUGCAUUCAACGAGCCUAUCCUUGACCGACAGGUCCGGGUAAUCUUUGAAUCUGCAUCGUGACGGGGAUAGAUGAUUGCAAUUUUUCAUCUUCAACGAGGAAUGCCUAGUAAACGCAAGUCAUCAGCUUGCAUUGAUUACGUCCCUGCCCUUUGUACACACCGCCCGUCGCUCCUACCGAUUGAAUGAUCCGAUGAAUAUCAUGGAUUGAGGAUGCAAGUAGGUUCACCUAUCUUCAUCUUCGAGAAGUGAAGUAAAUCUUAUCAUUUAGAGGAAGGAGAAGUCGUAACA
rnacentral:rRNA from 1 species